rnacentral:rRNA from 1 species
GAGUUUGAUCCUGGCUCAGGAUGAACGCUGGCGGCGUGCCUAACACAUGCAAGUCAAGGAGAAAUUUAGCUUCGGCGAGAUGGAUACUGGCGCACGGGUGAGUAACACGUGGAUAAUCUGCCCUUUACACAGACAUAACUCAGGGAAACUUGAGCUAAUAUCUGAUGAGGCCUCCGGGUCAAAGCUACGGCGGUAAAGGAUGAGUCUGCGUCUGAUUAGCUAGUUGGUAAGGUAAUGGCUUACCAAGGCGACGAUCAGUAACUGGUCUGAGAGGACGAUCAGUCACACUGGAACUGAGACACGGUCCAGACUCCUACGGGAGGCAGCAGUGAGGAAUUUUGGACAAUGGGGGAAACCCUGAUCCAGCGACGCCGCGUGUGGGAUGAAUGGGUUAUGCCCUGUAAACCACUGUCAGCAGAGAAGAAAAGGUUCCUUUGGAACCCGGGACUGUAUCUGCAGAGGAAGGACCGGCUAACUACGUGCCAGCAGCCGCGGUAAUACGUAGGGUCCAAGCGUUAUCCGGAAUUACUGGGUAUAAAGGGUGCGUAGGCGGCCUUGUGCGUCGAAGGUUAAAGGCCAGGGCUCAACCAUGGAAAUGCCCUCGAUACGGCAAGGCUUGAAUAUGAGAGAGGAAGAUGGAAUUCCUGGUGUAGCAGUGAAAUGCGUAGAUAUCAGGAGGAACACCGGUGGCGAAGGCGGUCUUCUGGUUCAUUAUUGACGCUGAGGCACGAAAGUGUGGGGAGCGAACAGGAUUAGAUACCCUGGUAGUCCACACCGUAAACGAUGUAUGCUAGGUGUUAGAACAAAUUGUUGUUCUAGUGCCGGAGAUAAUUCGUUAAGCAUACCACCUGGGAAGUACGAUCGCAAGGUUGAAACUCAAAGGAAUUGACGGGGGCCCGCACAAGCGGUGGAUUAUGUGGUUUAAUUCGAUGCAACGCGAAGAACCUUACCCAGGCUUGAAGUGUAGCGGAUCGCUACCGAAAGGUAGUUUCCCUUCGGGGUCGUUACAGAGGUGCUGCAUGGCUGUCGUCAGCUCGUGCCGUGAGGUGUUGGGUUAAGUCCCGCAACGAGCGCAACCCCUAUCUUUAGUUGCCAUCAGGUAAUGCUGGGAACUCUAAAGAGACUGCCCGCGCAAGCGGAGAGGAAGGCGGGGACGACGUCAAGUCAUCAUGGCCCUUAUGUCUGGGGCUACACACGUAAUACAAUGGAUGAGACAAUGGGCAAAGCCGCGAGGCCAAGAUAAUCCCCAAACUCAUUCUCAGUUCGGAUUGGAGUCUGAAACUCGACUCCAUGAAGGUGGAAUCGCUAGUAAUCGCAGAUCAGCAUGCUGCGGUGAAUACGUUCCCGGGCCUUGUACACACCGCCCGUCAAGCCAUGAAAGCCGGAGGCGCCCAAAGAUGCUUAUAGCAUUUAAGGCGAAUUUGGUAAUUUGGGCUAAGUCGUAACAAGGUAGCCGUAUCGGAAGGUGCGGCUGGAUCACUCCUUUCU